GGGGGACUACUUGCAGCGCUGAAGCAAAGAGGCUAGGGUUUCUGCUUAGUUUUUUUAAUUGUUGGGCCAUUUAGUUGUUUUGGGUUAUUGGGCCGUGUAAAAUGUAGGCCUGCUUAUUAUUUUUUUUGUUUUGGUUUAUUAUGUGGGCCCAGGCCGAUUGGGCCUUAUUACACUAAUUAAUUACCUUUUUGUCCUCAUCAUUUUUCAC
rnacentral:lncRNA from 1 species